UGGGGAAUAUUGGACAAUGGGCGCAAGCCUGAUCCAGCCAUGCCGCGUGAGUGAUGAAGGCCUUAGGGUUGUAAAGCUCUUUCGCCGGUGAAGAUAAUGACGGUAACCGGAGAAGAAGCCCCGGCUAACUUCGUGCCAGCAGCCGCGGUAAUACGAAGGGGGCUAGCGUUGCUCGGAAUCACUGGGCGUAAAGCGCACGUAGGCGGAUCGUUAAGUCAGGGGUGAAAUCCUGGAGCUCAACUCCAGAACUGCCCUUGAUACUGGCGAUCUCGAGUUCGAGAGAGGUUGGUGGAACUCCGAGUGUAGAGGUGAAAUUCGUAGAUAUUCGGAAGAACACCAGUGGCGAAGGCGGCCAACUGGCUCGAUACUGACGCUGAGGUGCGAAAGCGUGGGGAGCAAAACAGGAUUAGAUACCCUGGUAGUCCACGCCGUAAAACGAUGGAUGCUAGCCGUUGGGGGGUUUACCUCUCAGUGGCGCAGCUAACGCCUUAAGCAUCCCGCCUGGGGAGUACGGUCGC
rnacentral:rRNA from 1 species